GGGAGCGCAGGAUCCUGGGCUGUGUCCCCAGCGCCCUGGGAUCCAGGGCCUGUGCUGCUGAAAUCGCACUCCUGGAGCCUCGGCUCCG
rnacentral:pre_miRNA from 1 species